rnacentral:rRNA from 1 species
CUAGCUGUAAACGAUGGAUACUAGGCGUUGAGAGUAUCGACCCUCUCAGUGUCGUAGCUAACGCGUUAAGUAUCCCACCUGGGGAGUACGCGCGCAAGCGUGAAACUCAAAGGAAUUGACGGGGGCCCGCACAAGCGGUGGAGUAUGUGGUUUAAUUCGAUGCAACGCGAAGAACCUUACCAGGGCUUGACAUGUCCGGAACCCUGCCCAAAGGCGGGGGUGCCUACGGGAACCGGAACACAGGUGGUGC